rnacentral:piRNA from 1 species
UAGUCUGGUGACUAUUCACAAGUUGAGCUC